rnacentral:rRNA from 1 species
CCGGAUGGCGACCGGCGCACGGGUGAGUAACGCGUAUCCAACCUGCCCUUUACUAUGGGACAGCCCGUCGAAAGGCGGAUUAAUACCGUAUGUUGUCAUGUUGAUGCAUAUUUUCAUGACCAAAGGCUUCGGCCGGUAAAGGAUGGGGAUGCGUCUGAUUAGCUUGCCGGCGGGGUAACGGCCCACCGGGGCGACGAUCAGUAGGGGUUCUGAGAGGAAGGUCCCCCACAUUGGAACUGAGACACGGUCCAAACUCCUACGGAAGGCAGCAG